rnacentral:rRNA from 1 species
UACGGAAGGGGCAAGCGUUGUUCGGAAUCAUUGGGCGUAAAGGGCGCGUAGGUGGUCGUGUAUGUCUCCCGUGAAAGCCCACGGCUCAACCGUGGUGUGUCGGGAGAAACUGCAGGACUUGAGGCUGGGAGGGGCUGGUGGAAUUCCCUGUGUAGCGGUGAAAUGCGUAGAUAUCUGGAGGAACACCGGUGGCGAAGGCGGCAUCCUGGACCGACACUGACGCUGAGGCGCGAAAGCUAGGGGAGCAAACGGG